CAAUGAAUUUAAGAUUUAUAUAUAAGAUGAAAAUCUUUUUUAGAA
rnacentral:tRNA from 2 species